rnacentral:tRNA from 4 species
CUCCGGGUAGCUAAAUGGUAAAGCGACAAACUUCACUUUGUUAUUUGCGGGUUCGAUUCCCGCCCCAAAUCA